rnacentral:rRNA from 1 species
AACGAACGCUGGCGGCAUGCCUAACACAUGCAAGUCGAACGAGACCUUCGGGUCUAGUGGCGAACGGGUGCGUAACGCGUGGGAACCUGCCCUUAGGUUCGGAAUAACUCCCCGAAAGGGGUGCUAAUACCGGAUAAUGUCUUCGGACCAAAGAUUUAUCGCCUUUGGAUGGGCCCGCGUUGGAUUAGCUAGUUGGUAGGGUAAAAGCCUACCAAGGCGACGAUCGAUAGCUGGUCUGAGAGGAUGAUCAGCCACACUGGGACUGAGACACGGCCCAGACUCCUACGGGAGGCAGCAGUGGGGAAUAUUGGACAAUGGGCGAAAGCCUGAUCCAGCAAUGCCGCGUGAGUGAUGAAGGCCUUAGGGUUGUAAAGCUCUUUUACCCGGGAUGAUAAUGACAGUACCGGAAGAAUAAGCUCCGGCUAACUCCGUG